rnacentral:lncRNA from 1 species
GGUUUUAUAAGGGGGAGUUUCCCUGCACAAGCUGCCUUCUCCUGUCUGCCACCACGUGAGAUGUGCCUUUCACCUUCCACUAUGAUUGUGAGGCCUCACCAGCCAUGUGGAACUAGUUCAAGAUUUCAACAUUUUAAGAUAAUCUGAAAAAAAUUGGAAUGUGCCCCCAGCUGCCAAUACUCUCUCAACACUGUUUAUCAAAGGAACCAAUAUGGAAGGAAAAACAUUGCUUUGAAGGGAAGAUGGAUGGAUCCCCUAGUAAACUACAGCUUGAGGUGCAAUUUCCUAAAGUUCAAAUGCCUGAAAAAGGAAACGAAAGAAAGAAACUCAACUCUUGAGACAGCUUCAAUGCUAGCUUUGAUCUCAAUUAUAGAGUUAUUUAUGAAAAGUGCAUUUUUACAACUAAAAAUAAAUUAGGAUCAAAAGCUUCUAGAGGCUAUACUAUGGAGUGCUUAAUAAAAAGUUGAGUAAAGAGUAA